GACGAACGCUGGCGGCGUGCUUAACACAUGCAAGUCGAGCGGUAAGGCCCUUUCGGGGGUACGACGAGCGGCGAACGGGUGAGUAACACGUGGGUGACCUGCCCUCAGCUCUGGGAUAAGCCUGGGAAACCGGGUACUAAUACCGGAUAUGACUCCAUGACGCAUGUUGUGGGGUGGAAAGCCUUGUGCGGCUGAGGAUGGGCCCGCGGCCUAUCAGCUUGUUGGUGGGGUGAUGGCCUACCAAGGCGACGACGGGUAGCCGGCCUGAGAGGGCGACCGGCCACACUGGGACUGAGACACGGCCCAGACUCCUACGGGAGGCAGCAGUGGGGAAUCUUGCGCAAUGGGCGAAAGCCUGACGCAGCGACGCCGCGUGAGGGAUGACGGCCUG
rnacentral:rRNA from 1 species